GGGGGUGGGGCCUCGUUCUUUUGCCCCGGCAACAAUUGUGACGUCUGUUUUAGUUACUGUUUCAUUGCUACGGAGCAAAUUAUCUCACAAAAGCAACUUGAAGAAGGAAGGGUUUACUCUGACUCACGGUUCAAAGGAUGCAGUCCAUCGGCUGAGAAGGUUUAGUGGCAGAGGCUGGUCACAUUGUAUCUAUUGUCUGGAGGCAAAGAAGAGAUAAAUGAAGUCGAAUGUCCUCUGUUUCAGUCGUGAUGGUAUUACCAGUGGUUAAGCCUGUGCCUGGUGUAGGAGGGUCUCCACAAAUCCUUCCUGUGUCACACAAACACGUCUUCCUCUUUUCAUGCAGUUGCUUAGCUGCUGUCUGAGGGUCCUGGAAACAGCUGGCAGCUUCGCUGAGUGUAGCGACUGCGUAGGACCCCACGUAGUACACUGAACUGGUACAGGAGCAUGACCCAGUGUGAACUGGACAGAAUCACCUUCCCUGGAAACAACACAAAGAUCCUACGAUGCAGGCAAUGGAAGGGAGAAGACCCAGGUAGGAUCAUAAAACACAUGCCUGGUGAUCUGCCCAAAGCCUGAGGUGUUUAGGACCCUGGAGCUUGCCUGAGUGGAGGAAGGAUGGGGUAGUGUGAGCCAUCACCAUCAGCCCUGAUCAACAGAUGGGGAAGAAGGCAGGAGGUGAGCCUGUAUCUGGCUUUGUCAUCUCCCUCAGUUUUAUCUGUGGAGAGGAAAUGCGUGUACAAACUGUCACGAUACUCUUUUUAAAGCCUGAUUUCCUUUUGUUUGUUUUAACUUUCCUGAUGCUGAAGCCAUGUUCUCUGAUUGCUGUGCAUGGGGCAAGG